UACGUAGGGUGCAAGCGUUAUUCGGAUUUACUGGGCGUAAAGAGUGUGUAGGCGGUUUUGUAAGUUAGAUGUUAAAUAUGUGGGCUCAACCCGCAUGCCGCAUCUAAGACUGCAAGACUUGAGAGUGGAAGAGGCAGACGGAAUUUCUGGUGGAGCGGUUAAAUGCGUAGAUAUCAGAAGGAACACCAAUGGCGAAGGCAGUCUGCUGGGCCAUUUCUGACGCUGAGACACGAAAGCGUGGGGAGCGAUCGGG
rnacentral:rRNA from 1 species